GUAUCAACAGUUGGGUGCCAGCCAGUGAUGUACUGGUAAAUGCUUAACAACCAGCUCUUCUGAGAAAAAAAAGUCAGACCUGUAGCAUUUGCUGAUUUCUAUGCUGCAAAUACUCCCACAAUGGCUGAUUUCAUGCUAUCAAUGUUGUAUCACUGAAUGCAGAGUUGAGCAGAAGUACAGGAACAUACCAUUAUAUGUAUAUUCAGUAUUUCCACCAUACAUACAGAAUGGACAAAAUAACUUCAAGAGUGUAGAUAAGACCUAUAAUCCCAGCACUUCAGGAGGCCAAGGUGGGUGGGUCACCUGAGGUCAGGAGUUCAAGACCAACCUUGCCAACAUGGCCAGCAUGGCCAACAUUGCCAGGCAAAUUAGCCAGGUGUGGUGGUGCAUGCCGGUAAUCCCAGCUAUCGUUUCUUAGCAGGGACAGAUUUUUAUUAAUACAAUAGAUUUUUGUUGAUAGUUUAUUGUUUACUUCCUUUCCAAUUUGGAUCCCUUUUUUUUUCUUUUUCUUGCCCAAUUGUCCUGGAUAGGACCUCCAGCACAACAUUGAAUACAAAUGGCAAUGGCAGACGUCCUUGUCUGGUUCCUGAUCACAGGGGGAAAGCAUUCUAUCUUUUGUCAUUUAGUAAGAUGUUGGUUGUUGAUUUUUUGUAGAUGCCCUUUAUCGGUUGAGGACAUUCCUUCCAUUUGUUGGGUGAAGGAAUGUUGCAUACUUUUAAAUCCUCCUUCUGUAUCUAUUUAGACGAUCAUGUGCUUUUUGACUUUUAUUCUAUUAAAAUGGUGUAUUAUAUUGAUUUUUGGAUGUUGAACCAACUUUGCACUCUUGGGAUAAAUCACACCUGGUCAUGGUCAUGCUUCCCAAUUUCAGGGUUACAAUCAAGAAGAUUAGGUUGUAUUAGCAAAAGUAUAGACAUAGAAAUCAAUGGAACCAAUUUGAGUCUAGAAGU
rnacentral:lncRNA from 1 species